rnacentral:rRNA from 1 species
GAUGAACGCUGGCGGCGUGCCUAAUACAUGCAAGUCGAGCGAACAGAUGAGGAGCUUGCUCCUCUGACGUUAGCGGCGGACGGGUGAGUAACACGUGUAUAACCUACCUAUAAUUCUGGGAUAACUUCGGGAAACCGGAGCUAAUACCGGAUAAUAUAUUGAACCGCAUGGUUCAAUAGUGAAAUACGGUUUUGCUGUCUCUUAUAGAUGGUUCCGCGCCGCAUUAGAUAGUUGGUAAGGUAACGGCUUACCAAGGCAACGAUGCGUAGCCGACAUGAGAGGGAGAUGGGCCAAAGGGGAAGUGAGACACGGACCAGACGAGUACGGGAGGGAGCAGAAGGGAAUAGUGCGGAAUGGGCGAAAGCAUGACGGAGCAACGGCGAGUGAGAGAUGAAGGACUUAGGAUCGGAAAAAUAUGUUAUUAGGGAAGAAAAAAUGUGUAAGAAAAUAUGCACGUAAUGACGGUAACAAAAAAGAAAGCAACGGGUAACUACGUG